rnacentral:rRNA from 1 species
UCGGGAAUUUUGGGCAAUGGGCGAAAGCCUGACCCAGCAACGCCGCGUGAAGGAUGAAGUAUUUCGGUAUGUAAACUUCGUAAGAAUAGGAAGAAUAAAUGACGGUACUAUUUGUAAGGUCCGGCUAACUACGUGCCAGCAGCCGCGGUAAUACGUAGGGACCAAGCGUUGUUCGGAUUUACUGGGCGUAAAGGGCGCGUAGGCGGCAAUUCAAGUCAUCUGUGAAAUCUCCGGGCUUAACUCGGAACGGUCAGAUGAUACUGCUUUGCUAGAGUGCAGAAGGGGCAAUCGGAAUUCUUGGUGUAGCGGUGAAAUGCGUAGAUAUCAAGAGGAACACCUGAGGUGAAGACGGGUUGCUGGGCUGACACUGACGCUGAGGCGCGAAAGCCAGGGGAGCAAACGGGAUUAGAUACCCUGGUAGUCCCUGAGCGGGCUGGCAAGGCGCAU